rnacentral:lncRNA from 1 species
CAUCAUCAAACCGAUCAAUCAAUGCCUACCACGAAUCUAUCAUGAAGUUCUCACCUUGGCCAACCAAUUCCGCCAUAUAGCCACCAUUAAAAUAUGCAUGGAGAUGCCUUACAGGCCGAGCUCCCAUGCUGAGCUCUCAGGCUGCACAUCGAGAUGCAAGUCCCUAGUGGCCAACCAAAGCUAUUCUAAGCUCCCAAACGAGCUUUCGGGCC